ACAAACCUCACAGAACUCCCUUUCUCAGCAGAGGCCACCUCUCUUGAGUUCUCUAAUGAGCUGGCUUUGCCUUACUUAAAGACCCAGCAAUGACCUCCUCUGAAAGCAGCCAGGCAUUUUUUUUUUUUUUUUUUUUAAUGACAGAGUUCAGUUGUUAUGGGAAGGAUGCCAAGAGGAAGAUGGAGUCAACAUUUAGCAUUUCAUGUCAAAAUGGGAUUUCUGAGACAAAAAUGUAAAAAUAAACUUGAGACACAGGCUUUGUGAAGAAGAGGAUUUCAUUAACAUAUCUGGGGCCAAACUUCAUUGAUCAGCUCACAGAAUUUUAUCAUAAGCCAAGAAUAGAACAAAAACAGAGUAAAGUGAGGCAGUCCUUAUCAUAUAGAGGGGAGACAGAGGGACUUCCUGUUUGACCUUGAAUUGGGGGAAGAAGGCCACUGCCAUCAUGGAAGUAAAGGCAUAUCACCAGGAUCUACAGCUUGAAUUAUAUACAGGUUCAUCAGUGUUUCACCUCUGAAAUAAUGUGUCACAUGACAAGAAAGUCUCAUUACCUCUAGCCAUCUUGAAGUACAGCUAAUCAAACACAUCUCAGCUCCUGUGAGGUAGUGAUUAUGCCUGAAAUGGAUGCCAGCAGGAUCCAUAAACAGCAGCUGGAUGAAGGAAUGAGGAGACUCCAUUAGUGGGUAACACGAAAUGGUUAGAGCUUCGGAAUGGUGUAUUGUUCUAUGUAUAGCAGUGAAAUGAAGUAAAAAAUGUACUCCCAAAUUUGUGAAAAUACCAUAAUUUUAAGAAGCAUUUGUUGUUACUGUUUUCCCUACCAUCUGCUGAGCUGCUUCACAGAGAUUUUAUCAGCACUAGCCUCAAUGACCAGCAAGUCACCAGCUCCCUCCCAUCUGCAACCCACAUUGGCUUCUUUGCUGUUCCUCAUUAUAAUCCACGUAUAUCUCAAGCCUUUGUGUCAGCUAUUCUCUCCUCCUAGAUAAUCUUCACUCAGAUAUCUUUAUGAUUCCGUCACCGAAGAUGUUUUCCCCUAAUCGGACGAGUAGAAACAUUACCUGUCAUUGCCUCAGAAAAUAAAAGUUUAGAGACAAG